AUUCAUUUUCCCAUCACAUUAUACACUGCUCAUAUCCAGGAGUUAUGACCACCCUGCAAUCCAGCAGUGGUGGCUGUGCUUGCACAUUAUAGGAAAAAGCACCAGCCUAUGUGCACUCCUGAGGUCUCGUCCACCAGAGAGUCCGGCACUUUUUCCUAUAGUGUGCUAGCAUGGCCACCACUGGUGGCAGGGUGGUCAUAACCAUGCAAACGAGCAGUGUAUAAUAUGAUGGAAAAAUGAAUCCAGCCAGCAAAGGAACCAUUAUGGACAAUAACAAUACCUUAGUAAGUGCCUUGUAUUAACUUUCUCUACAUGAUAAAUGCCACGUGCUGAAGUGAUACAACCCCUUUUAAGUAAAAUUCACAGAAAUUUUGUUUACUCUAACGUCUUCCACAGCAGUUCACAUUACUGGAAUGCACAAGUGUUCACUUUACCCCACUAUUAUUCCACAUUUUAUGCAAAGGCCACCUGUAAAAGGGACAGAAUUAAAUAUUGUGACCACUUGUAAACCAAGACUUCAAGACUUGAAAGAUAGAUUUAUUAAGACUGGCAUCUGGGCCCACAGACAUGUCAUCAUAUAUUAUGGAUCACCUUGUCCCAGGAUAACGCAGCCUUGCAUAAUUUCAAGCUUAGUAUCUGUUAUCUUCAUAACAUCAGCACCACCCGAUUUGUCUUCUGAGCCUUCUCAUUUGACUGUGCUGAAUGAGCAUGUUAUAGCUAUAGUAACAUACAUGUAACUUCCAUACAAUGGCCCAUGGACAAACUUUCCCUCGACUUUAACAACAUACCUCGCCUACAAUAACAAGAAUUCACUGAGACCUCGCCUAGGUAACAAUCUAUAGUUUCUUAAUAUGAACCACCAGCUUCUGGAGUUGAUAUCCAUCCUAGAGACAGGAAAGAUAAUAUAGUUCUUACCACCGAAAGUCUUUUCACUAGAGAUAAGGACACAGACUUGGCCAUUCAUGAACUCGCGAUGGCCCACAGCAGUUAUUCUUAAAUGUCACUGCUAUUAAUAUGCCUUAACGUCUGUUUAAAAGGACACUAAAGGAUCAUCUAAAAACUGACUUCAAAUAAUAGAAGUUAUAUGAUAUUGACCUGUUCACUGAGUCUAGUUGGCAUAUUGAGUAAUACAAAAUAUGAAGUUAAAAAA